rnacentral:rRNA from 1 species
AAACUUAAAGGAAUUGACGGAAGGGCACCACCAGGAGUGGAGCCUGCGGCUUAAUUCGACUCAACACGGGGAAACUCACAAGGUCCAGACACAAUAAGGAUUGACAGAUUGAGAGCUCUUUCAUGAUUUUGUGGGUGGUGGUGCAUGGCCGUUCUUAGUUGGUGGAGUGAUUUGUCUGCUUAAUUGCGAUGACGAACGAGACCUUAACCUGCUAAAUAGCUGUAACAAUAGAUUAUUGUUUUGACAGCUUCUUAGAGGGACUCGAUUUUCAAGUCGAUGGAAGUUUGAGGCAAUAACAGGUCUGUGAUGCCCUUAG